GACGAACGCUGGCGACGUGCUUAACACAUGCAAGUCGAGCUGAAAGGCUCCUUCGGGGGUACUCGAGCGGCGAACGGGUGAGUAACACGUGAGUAAUCUGCCCUUACCUUGGGGAUAACUCCGAGAUAUCGGUUCUAAUACCCGAUAUGACGAACAGGCGCAUGUGCGGUUGUGGAAAGAGUUUUCGGUGGGGGAUGUGCGCGCGGCCGAUGAGCUUGUUGGUGGGGGAAUGGCCUACCAAGGCUUCGACGGGUAGCCGGCCUGAGAGGGUGACCGGCGACACUGGGACUGAGACACGGCCCAGACUCCUACGGGAGGCAGCAGUGGGGAAUAUUGGACAAUGGGCGGAAGCCUGAUCCAGCAACGCCGCGUGAGGGAUGACGGCCUUCGGAUUGUAAACCUCUUUCAGCACCGACGAAGCGAGAGUGACGGUAGGUGCAGAAGAAGGACCGGCCAACUACGUGCCAGCCGCCGCAGUAAGAC
rnacentral:rRNA from 1 species